GUGGGGAAUAUUGGGCAAUGGGCGAAAGCCUGACCCAGCAACGCCGCGUGAAGGAAGAAGGUUUUCGGAUUGUAAACUUCUGUCCUCAGGGAAGAAGGAAGUGACGGUACCUGAGGAGGAAGCCCCGGCUAACUACGUGCCAGCAGCCGCGGUAAUACGUAGGGGGCGAGCGUUGUCCGGAAUGACUGGGCGUAAAGGGCGCGUAGACGGUUUUUUAAGUCUGGAGUGAAAGUCCUGCUUUCAAGGUGGGAAUUGCUUUGGAGACUGGGGGACUUGAGUGCGGAAGAGGUAAGUGGAAUUCCCAGUGUAGCGGUGAAAUGCGUAGAGAUUGGGAAGAACACCAGUGGCGAAGGCGACUUACUGGGCCGUAACUGACGUUGAUGCGCGAAAGCGUGGGGAGCGAACAGGAUUAGAUACCCUAGUAGUCC
rnacentral:rRNA from 1 species